GGGAACGUGCCUUUAGGUUCGGAAUAACUCAGGGAAACUUGUGCUAAUACCGGAUGUGCCCUUCGGGGGAAAGAUUUAUCGCCUUUAGAGCGGCCCGCGUCUGAUUAGCUAGUUGGUGAGGUAAUGGCUCACCAAGGCUACGAUCAGUAGCUGGUCUGAGAGGAUGACCAGCCACAUUGGGACUGAGACACGGCCCAAACUCCUACGGGAGGCAGCAGUGGGGAAUCUUGCGCAAUGGGCGAAAGCCUG
rnacentral:rRNA from 1 species